rnacentral:rRNA from 1 species
GCCCAAGAUUGAAAGCUGGCGUCUUCGGCGUCCGCAUUGUAAUCUCAAGAAGUGUUUUCCGCUUCGGACCAUGCCUAAGUCCCUUGGAAAAGGGCAUCAUAGAGGGUGAUAAUCCCGUACAUGGCAUGGAGCGCCCGAAGCUUUGUGAUACGCUUACUACGAGUCGAGUUGUUUGGGAAUGCAGCUCAAAUUGGGUGGUAAAUGCCAUCUAAGGCUAAAUAUUGGGGAGAGACCGAUAGCGAACAAGUACAGUGAUGGAAAGAUGAAAAGAACUUUGAAAAGAGAGUUAAACAGUACGUGAAAUUGCCAAAAGGGAAGGGUAGGAGGUCAGAGAUGCGUCUUGGGAUUCAGCCUUGCUUUUGCAUGGUGUUUUUCCCAAGUUGCAGGCCAACGUCGGUUUUGGGCACUGGAGAAGGGUAGGAGGAACGUGGCACCUCUCGGGGUGUGUUAUAGCCUCCUACUGGAUACAGCGACCGAGACCGAGGAACGCAGCGUACUCGUAAGAGCGGGCCUUUUGGCACCUUUACGCUUAGGGCGUUGGCAUAAUGGCC